GUGAAUUGAAUAUGUUAGCGGACCUCUUCGGAGUCCCUAGCAUCAAAUCAUAUCCAUAACACCUGUGAACUGUAAGGCUGUCUUGAAAACGAAAGUGAUUAGAGCGCCUGCCCAUUUUAUACAAACAUUAAAGUAACAAACGUAGUCUUAUUAUAACCUAAUA
rnacentral:misc_RNA from 1 species